rnacentral:lncRNA from 1 species
AUGGUAUCCGUCGCUGGAAGUGGGGCAGGACCGUGGCCAUUAUUACGGCCUGCCAGGGAGUGAUGGAGCCAUGUGGAAUCCAUCGCAGGAGGUGGAGCAGGGUCGUGGGGUGAUGGAGCAACGUGGAAUCUGCCGCAGGGAAUGGAGCAGAAUCGCGGCCGUUAUUGCAGCACGCCAGGGGGCGAAGGUCUGCCGGCUGAAGUCCGACUGGAGUGUCUGG